UGCGGAAUGUGUGGUGUAGCGGUGAAAUGCUUAGAUAUCACACAGAACACCGAUUGCGAAGGCAGCACACUAAGUCAUUAUUGACGCUGAGGCACGAAAGUGUGGGGAUCAAACAGGAUUAGAUACCCUGGUAGUCCACACUGUAAACGAUGAUAACUCGCUGUCGGCGAUACACAGUCGGUGGCCAAGCGAAAGCAUUAAGUUAUCCACCUGGGGAGUACGACCGCAAGGUUGAAACUCAAAGGAAUUGACGGGGGCCCGCACAAGCGGAGGAACAUGUGGUUUAAUUCGAUGAUACGCGAGGAACCUUACCCGGGCUCGAACGGUGCAUGAAUAUACGAGAGAUUGUAUAGUCCUUCGGGACGUGUAUCGAGGUGCUGCAUGGUUGUCGUCAGCUCGUGCCGUGAGGUGUCGGCUUAAGUGCCAUAACGAGCGCAACCCUUGUCAUUAGUUGCCAUCAGGUCAAGCUGGGGACUUUAAUGAGACUGCCACCGUAAGGUGUGAGGAAGGGGGGGAUGACGUCAAAUCAGCACGGCCCUUAUGUCCGGGGCGACACACGUGUUACAAUGGGAGGUACAGAGGGCAGCUAUCCGGUGACGGAAUGCUAAUCUCCAAAACCUUUCUCAGUUCGGAUUGGAGUCUGCAACUCGACUCCAUGAAGGUGGAUUCGCUAGUAAUCGCGCAUCAGCCAUGGCGCGGUGAAUACGUUCCCGGGCCUUGUACACACCGCCCGUCAAGCCAUGGAAGCUUGGGGUGCCUGAAGUUCGUGACCGCAAGGAGCGACCUAAGGCAAAACAGGUAACUGGGGCUAAGUCGUAACAAGGUAACCNAAAGGGCGAAUCGUAACUC
rnacentral:rRNA from 1 species